rnacentral:lncRNA from 1 species
UGGCAAGAGUCGGGGAGACGAAUGGGUUGUGAGUCGUGACAGUACGUUUUUUCACAAAUCGCCCAGAGUUCGCCGAAGCCGCCUAGCCCACUUAGGCUGCCGCCUUACCCCGCGUAAUAUCUUUGUCGAUUUUAUAAGCGAUUUUGAGUUAAUCGCGGUGGAGCACCACAGCCUAACGCCUAGGUGGCCGCCUAAACCCUUUUUAAGAACAAUGAUUAUAAUUAAAUGUUACCAUCACUCUUUGUUUACGUUCAUUUCGACUAAAACCCUAAUAACUCUUAUAAAGAAAAAAAAAAUUUCUAUUGAUUUCUAACACCCUAAUUCCAGCAGGGAUGGAGGAGUUGGAUGAACCACAUCUCACUCUCAAACCAUUCGAAACAACAUAUAAAGUACAAGAAAAAGCCUUGAAGAUGUACCUAAGUUACAUGUCACAUCUUUUAUUGGCUCAACCACCUUCUAUAAUCAUGGUCAGGUGAUGUGCUCAGGACUCAAAUCUCCAAGGAGUCCCUUUAAAAUAAAAGGUCCUGCAUGAAAACUAGGAGAGAAUUUAUAGCCAACACGAAUUAAAGUUCAGCACUCUGUCCGACAUUACUUGCCAUUAACACUCUAUGGCUUUGUGAAUUUUUUCCUCCUCUUUCUCGCCUCAGCGCAAUUGCAUCUGCGAGAGGGUACAAAGGACCUAGAAAAUUUUUUACUUUCGAAUUUCUUUGAAAACAAAACGACUUUUAGUUUGAAAUUUUGUUUUUUUAUAAAUAGGUGUAAAGAGAAUGUAACAUUUUGAAUUGGGUAUGGAGGGUAGUUUAAGUAAUAAUUUUGGGUUUAAAGAGAGAUUAAUUCUUUAAUUAAAAAUAAUAUUGGUGAGAGAGGUUAAGUGUAGAAAGAGAUUACAAGGGUUUAAAUAAAAUUUCCCUUUUAUUUUAACAUUUGGCUUAAUCUUAAUAACCUAGAUUUCAUUAUUUUAUUUGACUAACUAUUUAGCCUUGAUUUAUUUGAUUGCAUGUUCUUUAAGUUUCUAUUAAGCAGGGCGUUUUGGGAGUUUUAUAAAAUUAAAUUAGUGUCAGUUACAAAAGGGGCUUCUCGCUUUUAUUAUACUAGCAUUUUUGCACGUAUUUGCGCGACACACGACGUUGAAGGUUCUAUUUUAAUUG